rnacentral:rRNA from 1 species
CCUACGGGGGGCAGCAGUGGGGAAUCUUGCGCAAUGGGCGAAAGCCUGACGCAGCGACGCCGCGUGCGGGAUGAAGGCCUUCGGGUUGUAAACCGCUUUCAGCAGGGACGAAAUUGACGGUACCUGCAGAAGAAGCUCCGGCCAACUACGUGCCAGCAGCCGCGGUAAGACGUAGGGGGCGAGCGUUGUCCGGAAUUAUUGGGCGUAAAGGGCUCCUAGGUGGUUCAGUAAGUCGACUGUGAAAAUCCAAGGCUCAACCUUGGGACGCCAGUCGAUACUGCUGUGACUCGAGUUCGGUAGAGGAGUGUGGAAUUUCUGGUGUAGCGGUGAAAUGCGCAGAUAUCAGAAGGAACACCAACGGCGAAGGCAGCACUCUGGGCCGAUACUGACACUGAAGAGCGAAAGCGUGGGGAGCAAACAGGAUUAGAUACCCUUGUAGUC